AUACACCACUAGGGGUGCUUUUGAAAAGCUGAGAGAGGCAUAAUGGCCUUAACCCUUAUCACCUGAACUAGGUAAUACUAGCGUAGGGAAGCGGUGUUGUCGUCAU
rfam:Bacillus smithii strain DSM 4216, complete genome.